UCUCGAUUGGUCUAGUGGUCAGGAUACCUGCUUGUCAUCCUAUGAUUCCGUGCACCUACAUAUACUUGGCGUGGCUUUGUUUCACCGUUGGGACAAUUCGCAGGUGGCCGGGGUUCGAUUCCCCGAUCGAGAG